rnacentral:rRNA from 1 species
GUCCACGCCGUAAACGAUGAGUGCUAGGUGCUGCGGGUAUUGACCCCUGCGGUGCCGUAGCUAACGCGUUAAGCACUCCGCCUGGGGAGUACGGCCGCAAGGCUAAAACUCAAAGGAAUUGACGGGGGCCCGCACAAGCGGUGGAGCAUGUGGUUCAAUUCGACGCAACGCGCAGAACCUUACCUGGGUUAAAUCCACUGGAACCUUGCAGAGAUGCGGGGGUGCUCUUCGGAGAGCCAGUGAGAAGGUGCUGCAUGGCUGUCGU